GCUCUCCCUGCAGUUCCAGAAGCUCACUGCGCACCUGUUGUUGAUGAAACCACUCCGUGAAAGGCUGGUAUCCUAACAACCAGGGACAUUUGUUUAUAAGAUAGCGAUGGAGCACAGCUGUCAGAGUGAAAUCCCGGCUGACUGACUGACUGCAUAAAAUGCCAUGAGAAACACCUGUCUCAUCAAGGACAUUAAAAAGAUAUUCAACAGAACAGUGUUUGUUCAGACCUGUGGUUCCAAUAACAACAAGAAGAAAUUCCAACAACAAGAAGAAACAAAUGGAAAUCUGCCAGCAACGAAGGCGUACCACAGUGCAAAUCAACUCAGUAGGACUAGAUCACCCUUCGUGAAACAGGCUCUUAUCAUGCAAAGCAAAGGACUUAACCCUAACCCACAGUUAAGCACCUCCACAUAUAACAUCUCAUGAAGGCCAGACCUAAAGGACAUUUGGGAGCUCAUAGCAGUGCUGCUAUGAGACACUUCUUGAUCAAGAAGAAGGCCAGACCUUGCUCUUCUUUAUUCCAAAAUACUUUGAGUACAUAUGACAAUUUCUCAAUCAAUAGACUCCUCAAUUUAUGAAUUACUUUUGCUCAAUGCAUUUCAGGUUGAGUGUUUUCUAGUGAGGUAGGAGAUAACAUAUUUAAAUUUUAUAAGCCUUUCUGGAAAAAGGUGAGGGAUAAAUUAAUUUUAAGGCAUUUGUCACAUUAAAUAUGUAUUAUUGAAUUAAAACAUACUUAUUACAACAUACUUAAUGAUGUAAAAGGUAAAAUCCUGCCUGUUCCUCUAUAAUCUCAUUUUCAUGUGCUGUUCAUAUACUGGUAAAGUCUUUUAGACCUCUACUCAUGCAAACACCAAUAUAAAUGCAAACACAUGUAGAAUAAAUGCAAUCAUACUAUAUACAUUGCUCUACGUCUUAAUUUUUAUAUAACGUAUUCUCAGAAUAUAAACCCCCUUCUCCGUAAGUCUAUACAAAUCUAGCCUUUUCUCUUUAAUGUCUAUACGCUAUUUCCUACUAUAGGUGGUAUACCAUUUAUUUAUACCUAUUGUCAGAUAAUCCUGUUAUGUCAAACACAUUUUAAUGUUCCGGAAACUCAUGUAUUUCCACCGCUAGACUAGACUUUUCUGAGAACAGAGAUGAAAGGUUCAAUUCCUCUCUACAUUUCUAACUUUCAGAAUAGCCUUGGGCAAAGAGCAGGGACUCAGUAAUUGCUUCAUGAAUGAACAGUUAGAUGAUGACCACUACAGCCCUACGUAAUUCAAUACGCUCUACAAGAGCUUUCUUUAAAACAAUGAAGGCAUCCUUCUAAAAGGGACUGCUCUUUUUCAGCAUUGGAGAAGUUGUACUCAGAUGCAGAGGGAGGUGGGAAUAAUCACAAUUGAAACAGUUCACAUUUACUUGAGUACUUACUCUGUGCUGCCAAGUGUUCUCAUAGUUUAACACAUUUAAUAAUCAUAGAAAACUUGAGAGAAAGACUCUAUUAUUAUUCUUGUUUCAUAGAAAGGCAAGUUGAGGCACAGAGUGAUGAAGUAACUUGCAGGAGCUUCUCUGGUGUGCAAAGGCUGGGCCGCUGCCCCAGAAGUGUCAUUCACACAUGAAACUGCCUCUCCAAUGGGAAGAAAAAGUGAUCAGUGUUAACUGGAGCUGUGGUGGGAGAUGCUAAGGCAACCAGAGGGUCCCAUGACCCUGAACAUGCACCAACAAGCUCAUUCUCUACACAUGCCCAGAGGUUGCCAACCACCAACUUAAUUUCAUUUUCCUGCCUCUGUGCUUCUUAAAGUUUAUAUGAAAGUUUACCUUAUUUUCCUUUUUCUUUUUUUGUUUUCUUUUUUGAGAUGGAGUCUCACUCUGUCACCCGGGCUGGAGCGCAGUGGCGUGAUCUCAGUUCACCGCAACCUCCACCUCCUGGGUUCAAGUGAUUCUCAUGCCUCAGCCUCCUGAGUAACUGGGAUUACAGGUGCCCGCCACCACACCUGGCUAAUUUCUGUAUGUUUAGUAGAGAUGGGGUUUCACCAUGUUGGCCAGGCUGGUCUUGAAAUCCCGACCUCAAGUGAUCUGCCCACCUUGGCUUCCCAAAGUGUUGGGAUUAGAGGAGCGAGCCACCACACCCGGCCUCUUAUUUAAUUUUAAUA